UACGGAAUGUGCAAACGUUAUUCGGAAUCACUGGGCUUAAAGAGUCCGUAGGCGGCUUGUUAGGUGAGGUGUGAAAUCCCUCGGCCCAACCGAGGAAUUGCGCUUCAAACCGGCAAGCUAGAGGAGGAUAGAGGUGGGCGGAACUGAUGGUGGAGCGGUGAAAUGCGUAGAUAUCGUUUGGAACGCCAACGGUGAAAACAGACGACUGGGAGCACGCUGACGCUGAGACACGAAAGCCAGGGGAGCGAACGGG
rnacentral:rRNA from 1 species